rnacentral:rRNA from 1 species
GACGAACGCUGGCGGCGUGCCUAAUACAUGCAAGUAGAACGCUGAAGCUUGGUGCUUGCCCGAGCGGAUGAGUUCGAACGGGUGAGUAACGCGUAGGUAACCUGCCUGGUACGGGGGAUAACUAUUGGAAACGAUAGCUAAUCCGCAUGAUAUUGAUUAUUGCAUGAUAGUCAAUUAAAAGGUGCAAUUGCAUCACUACCAGAUGGACCUGCGUUGUAUUAGCUAGUUGGUGAGGUAACGGCUCACCAAGGCAACGAUACGUAGCCGACCUGAGAGGGUGAUCGGCCACACUGGGACUGAGACACGGCCCAGACUCCUACGGGAGGCAGCAGUAGGGAAUCUUCGGCAAUGGACGGAAGUCUGACCGAGCAACGCCGCGUGAGUGAAGAAGGUUUUCGGAUCGUAAAGCUCUGUUGUAAGAGAAGAACGAGUGUGAGAGUGGAAAGUUCACACUGUGACGGUAUCUUACCAGAAAGGACGG